rnacentral:misc_RNA from 1 species
GAUGAAGAACGCAGCGAAAUGCGAUACUUGGUGUGAAUUGCAGAAUCCCGUGAACCAUCGAGUCUUUGAACGCAAGUUGCGCCCGAAGCCAUUAGGCCGAGGGCACGCCUGCCUGGGCGUCACACGUCGUUGCCCCCCCAUCUACUCCUUCGGGAUUGCGGGGGGCGGAUGAUGGCCUCCCGUGCGCCUCGUCGUGCGGUUGGCAUAAAUGCCAAGUCCUCGGCGACGCACGCCACGACAAUCGGUGGUUGCGAAACCUCGGUUGCCCGUCGUGUGCGGUCGUCGCGCAUCGAGGGCUCGAAAAAAUUGCCGGGUUCCGGCUCGGCUUUCAACGCGACCCCAGGUCAGGCGGGGUUACCCGCUGAAUUUAAGCAUAUCAAUAAGCGGAGGA